rnacentral:tRNA from 1 species
GAUCCCCUAGCUCAGUUGGUAGAGCAUCUGACUCUUAAUCAGAGGGUCUAGGGUUCGAAUCCCUAGGGGAUCACCA